rnacentral:rRNA from 1 species
AUGAACUGUAGUACAGUUCGGCGAGGAAGCAAUUUAAAAGAGUUUAUAUUUGUAGGUAUGCUGACGGACCGUCCAAAAGAGGAGAUGUCCGGGUCCGCAGGUAAUUUACUACAUGAUCUCUCACAGCUGCAUGAACGAGUUCGGCUGGUGAUGCAGGGUAUUGCCCAGGCCUUGUGGCCAUCCACUUCCCUGCCAGGAGGCAGGAGUGAGCUCAUGGAUAUGCUACAAGGAGCAGGGCGGCGCUUCCGGUUGUGGAAGGUAUCGGCCUGCCGACAAGGUGCAAGGGAAGCCUGUGCCAUGGUGAAGAUGCAAUACACCAAGCUUGACCCGAACCAUAUGGCCGAAGUCGGACCGGCGGGGCCAGAUGGGCAAGAGAUUCCCGUGAGUAUGGUGUAUGACCAGGUAGCAUUAGCCGCAAAGUAUUCCCAACAGGAUGGCAAGCUAGAUAGCCUGUUGGAUGGUAUAGAGGAAGAAUAUAGCCAGUCCAAGUGA